UACGUAGGUGGCAAGCGUUGUCCGGAAUUAUUGGGCGUAAAGCGCGCGCAGGCGGUCCUUUAAGUCUGAUGUGAAAGCCCACGGCUCAACCGUGGAGGGUCAUUGGAAACUGGGGGACUUGAGUGCAGAAGAGGAAAGCGGAAUUCCACGUGUAGCGGUGAAAUGCGUAGAGAUGUGGAGGAACACCAGUGGCGAAGGCGAGUCCCUGGACAACUUCUGACGCUGAGGCACGAAAGCUAGGGGAGCAAACAGG
rnacentral:rRNA from 1 species